CAGCAUCCAAGGUCAGACCAGUUCUGUUAGGCCUUGCCAUCUGCUCACUCUGGUGGGUUUCCAGGCAUUGACUGCACACUUCAAAGGACCUCCGCAGGGAGGAAAUGAGCUUCUCCCUCCGUGCCCUCCACACUCAGCCGAGAUGACCAGCUGACCGAGUGACCGGCAGGCUGAUGAAUCAACCCACUCGCAUACUGGCAGAAGAGCGUGGAAAGGAAAAGAGAUCUGGUGAGGGACCAGCUAAGCAACCGCUGACCAGCACAGUAGAAAGGGCCUGACCCAGGGCUCCACAUGGUGAGGACUGCUCUCCAAAGGAAGGCCAGAGACAGUAAGAGGGGAGUGUGUGUGCGCACACACGUGCGGUCAGGCACUCAUUCAUGCCUGACUCUUUACAACCCCAUGGACUAUAGCCCGCCAGGCUCCUCUGUCCAUGGGACUGUCCAGGCAAGAAUACUGGGUUGGGUUGCCAUCUUCUUCUCCAGGGGAUCUUCCCGACCCAGGGAUCGAACCCACAUCCCUGUGUCUCCUGUAUUGGCAGGUGGAUUCUUACCAAUGCGCCACCUGGGAAGCCCAGGGAGAUGCGAAAAAAAGACAGAAAACUGAAAUGCCCACUACUCAGUGAGGACUCUGAGUAGUGAUUAGGUUGGAGGUAGCCCAACGUGGUUGACGUCUAGAGUUGCGUAAAGAGACUUGGAGACUUCAACCCAAGAUCAAGCUGUGGUUUUGCUAUUUAGGUAUCUCUUGUGAUGACUGAGUCAGAUAAGCAAAUGAGUAAGUAAGUUCAGUCCUGGCC
ensembl:lncRNA